rnacentral:rRNA from 1 species
UUUAUCAGAGAGUUUGAUCCUGGCUCAGGAUGAACGCUGGCGGCGUGCUUAACACAUGCAAGUCGAACGGGAAACCUUUUAUUGAAGCUUCGGCAGAUUUAGAUUGUUUCUAGUGGCGGACGGGUGAGUAACGCGUGGGUAACCUGCCUUGUACAGGGGGAUAACAGUCAGAAAUGACUGCUAAUACCGCAUAAGCGCACAGAGCUGCAUGGCUC